rfam:Xenopus laevis strain J chromosome 6L, whole genome shotgun sequence.
CAGUGGCCCGAUUCAAGUAAUCCAGGAUAGGCUGUUCACAUUCUGCGUGGCCUAUUCUUGAUUACUUGCAUUGGGAGGCAG